rnacentral:rRNA from 1 species
AGCUAGUUGGUGAGAUAACAGCCCACCAAGGCAACGAUCUAUAGCCGGCCUGAGAGGGUGAACGGCCACACUGGGACUGAGACACGGCCCAGACUCCUACGGGAGGCAGCAGUGGGGAAUAUUGCACAAUGGGCGAAAGCCUGAUGCAGCGACGCCGCGUGAAGGAUGAAGGUCUUCGGGUUGUAAACCCCUUUUAGCAGGGAAGAAGCGAAUGUGACGGUACCUGCAGAAAAAGCGCCGGCUAACUACGUGCCAGCAGCCGCGGUAAUACGUAGGGCGCAAGCGUUGUCCGGAAUUAUUGGGCGUAAAGAGCUCGUAGGCGGUUUGUCGCGUCUGCUGUGAAAACCCGAGGCUCAACCUCGGGCCUGCAGUGGGUAUGGGCAGACUAGAGUGUGGUAGGGGAGACUGGAAUUCCUGGUGUAGCGGUGGAAUGCGCAGAUAUCAGGAGGAACACCGAUGGCGAAGGCAGGUCUCUGGGCCACAACUGACGCUGAGGAGCGAAAGCGUGGGUAGCGAACAGGAUUAGAUACCCUGGUAGUCCACGCCGUAAACGGUGGGCACUAGAUGUGGGGCUCUUUCCAUGAGUUCCGCGUCGCAGCUAACGCAUUAAGUGCCCCGCCUGGGGAGUACGGCCGCAAGGCUAAAA